AUGGGUGCUAUGUAUCCGAACAAGCAAGCCCUGAAGGAUGCAAAAAUUAAUUGGGCAAUGUCCACGCAAAGGGUUUUCAAAGCUGAGGUGUCCAGUCAGAAAUUCCUCACAAUGGUAUGCAAGAACGCAGAUUGUCCCGCAAGGGUGCACGGCUUUCUCCCUAAGUAUGGCACAAGUUGGGUGAUAAGUGACUUAGUUAAUCACACUUGUCUUAUUCCCUGCAUCCCUCAAGAUCAUGCCAACCUUUCAUCCACGCUUAUUGCUCGACUGUUUUACGAUGAGAUAGUGCAAGGCAAAGCUAUGGAAGUGAAGGCAGUGCAGACAAAAGUGUUCGCCAGGUUGAAGUACAGAAUUUCUUAUGGCAAGGCUUGGAGGGCUAAGCAUGCAGCGCUUGAGAGGAGAUUUGGUUCUUAUUUUCAUGCAUAUGACUCUGUUGUCCACCUCCUCCACACCCUGCAGCAGCGGAAUCCAGGCACCUAUAUCGAUAUCCAAGACAUGUUCAUGCCAGAGUUCCCAACUGUGAGGGUUUUGCAUCGUCUCUUCUUCUCUUUCGGUGUAUGCAUCGAAGCUUUCAGGCAUUGCCGACCGGUGAUAUGUGUUGACGGUACUUUUCUCAUAGGCAAGUACAAGGGUCAGAUCCUGACAGCCAUAGGUCAAGAUGGCCAAAAUCAAGUCGUCCCACUGGCAUUUGCUUUUGUGGAGAGUGAGAACAUUGAAAGUUGGACAUGGUUCUUCAGGCAGUUGAAAAUAUCAGUUGUUAAGGAGAAGCCCAAUGUGUGCAUCCUUCAUGACAGGCAUGCAGGUAUACUCAGUGCGAUAAGGACACUGACAAACCCAGGCCCUGAGGAACAAGUUCCAUGGCAGUACUUGCAGAGCCGUUGGUGCAUGCGCCAUCUCGGGGCUAAUUUCUUCUCGCAGUUUAGAAAUAAGAACCUGAUGAAUCUGUUCAAAAAACUCUGCAAGCAGAACCAGUUAUGGAAGUACAAUUUGAUACGCGACGGACUUAAUGUGUGCACGCAGAGACACGUGAGGGAUAGGAAAGCUGCAAGAGAUGCAGCGGUGAGGGCACAUGUUGAAGCAGUAGCUGCACGGUUGGCAACAGGAACAGCGGCCGUGGAGGAGGAGGCUGUUGAGCUAUGUGACCUGCCAGGCUUUGACCCACCUGGUACUAGGAGAAGGCUCGGGAGGUCGAUUAAAACCUUCGAGCAGUGGAUAGAGCAUGAGCCUCUGCAGAGGUGGUCUUUGCUACAUGACACACAUGGAGCAAGGUACGUGUCAUGA
rnacentral:rRNA from 1 species